UACGGAGGGGGCUAGCGUUUGUUCGGAAUUACUGGGCGUAAAGCGCGCGUAGGCGGCUUUGUAAGUUAGAGGUGAAAGCCCGGAGCUCAACUCCGGAACUGCCUUUAAGACUGCAUCGCUAGAAUUGUGGAGAGGUGAGUGGAAUUCCGAGUGUAGAGGUGAAAUUCGUAGAUAUUCGGAGGAACACCAGUGGCGAAGGCGGCUCACUGGCUCGACACUGACGCUGGAGG
rnacentral:rRNA from 1 species